AGAACGAACGCUGGCGGCAGGCUUAACACAUGCAAGUCGAGCGCCGUAGCAAUACGGAGCGGCAGACGGGUGAGUAACGCGUGGGAACAUACCCCUUGGUUCGGAAUAACUCAGGGAAACUUGAGCUAAUACCGGAUAAGUCGGCAACGAGAAAGAUUCAUCGCCGAGGGAUUGGCCCGCGUCCGAUUAGCUAGUUGGUGAGGUAACGGCUCACCAAGGCGACGAUCGGUAGCUGGUCUGAGAGGAUGAUCAGCCACAUUGGGACUGAGACACGGCCCAAACUCCUACGGGAGGCAGCGGUGGGGAAUAUUGGACAAUGGGCGCAAGCCUGAUCCAGCCAUGCCGCGUGAGUGAUGACGGCCUUAGGGUUGUAAAGCUCUUUCGCCAGGGACGAUAAUGACGGUACCUGGAUAAGAAGCCCCGGCUAACUUCGUGCCAGCAGCCGCGGUAAUACGAAGGGGGCUAGCGUUGUUCGGAAUUACUGGGCGUAGAGCGCGUGUAGGCGGGUCUUUAAGUCAGGGGUGAAAUGCCAAGGCUCAACCUUGGAACUGCCUUUGAUACUGGAGAUCUUGAGUCCGGGAGAGGUGAGUGGAACUGCGAGUGUAGAGGUGAAAUUCGUAGAUAUUCGCAAGAACACCAGUGGCGAAGGCGGCUCACUGGCCCGGAACUGACGCUGAGACGCGAAAGCGUGGGGAGCAAACAGGAUUAGAUACCCUGGUAGUCCACGCUGUAAACGAUGGAUGCUAGCCGUUGGGGAGCUUGCUCUUCAGUGGCGCAGCUAACGCUUUAAGCAUCCCGCCUGGGGAGUACGGUCGCAAGAUUAAA
rnacentral:rRNA from 1 species